rnacentral:rRNA from 1 species
GAGCACGACCAUGCUUUGACUGGGGCAAGCCGCGAACGGGUGAGUAAACGUGGGUAACCUGCCCCGAUGAUUGGGACAACCCGAGGAAACUCGGGCUAAUACCGAAUGUGCCCUCCGACCACAAUGUCGCUGGGGAAAGGUAGCUUCGGCUUCCGCAUCGGGAUGGGCCCGCGGCCCAUUAGCUUGUUGGUGAGGUAACGGCUUACCAAUGCUACGAUGGGUAGCUGGUCUGAGAUGACGAUCAGCCACACUGGGACUGAGACACGGCCCAGACUCCUACGGGAGGCAGCAGUGGGGAAUCUUGCGCAAUGCGCGAAAGCGUGACGCAUCAACGCCGUGUGGGGGAAGAAUGCCUUCGGGUUGUAAACCCCUUUCAGUUGGGACGAAGCCCCGUCGGUUAACAGCCGGCUGGGGUGACGGUACCUUCAGAAGAAGCCCCGGCUAACUACGUGCCAUCAGCCGCGGUAAU